rnacentral:rRNA from 1 species
AGAGUUUGAUCAUGGCUCAGAUUGAACGCUGGCGGCAGGCCUAACACAUGCAAGUCGAGCGGUAGCACAGAGAGCUUGCUCUCGGGUGACGAGCGGCGGACGGGUGAGUAAUGUCUGGGAAACUGCCUGAUGGAGGGGGAUAACUACUGGAAACGGUAGCUAAUACCGCAUAACGUCGCAAGACCAAAGUGGGGGACCUUCGGGCCUCAUGCCAUCAGAUGUGCCCAGAUGGGAUUAGCUAGUAGGUGGGGUAACGGCUCACCUAGGCGACGAUCCCUAGCUGGUCUGAGAGGAUGACCAGCCACACUGGAACUGAGACACGGUCCAGACUCCUACGGGAGGCAGCAGUGGGGAAUAUUGCACAAUGGGCGCAAGCCUGAUGCAGCCAUGCCGCGUGUGUGAAGAAGGCCUUCGGGUUGUAAAGCACUUUCAGCGGGGAGGAAGGCGAUAAGGUUAAUAACCUUGGCGAUUGACGUUACCCGCAGAAGAAGCACCGGCUAACUCCGUGCCAGCAGCCGCGGUAAUACGGAGGGUGCAAGCGUUAAUCGGAAUUACUGGGCGUAAAGCGCACGCAGGCGGUCUGUCAAGUCGGAUGUGAAAUCCCCGGGCUCAACCUGGGAACUGCAUUCGAAACUGGCAGGCUAGAGUCUUGUAGAGGGGGGUAGAAUUCCAGGUGUAGCGGUGAAAUGCGUAGAGAUCUGGAGGAAUACCGGUGGCGAAGGCGGCCCCCUGGACAAAGACUGACGCUCAGGUGCGAAAGCGUGGGGAGCAAACAGGAUUAGAUACCCUGGUAGUCCACGCCGUAAACGAUGUCGAUUUGGAGGUUGUGCCCUUGAGGCGUGGCUUCCGGAGCUAACGCGUUAAAUCGACCGCCUGGGGAGUACGGCCGCAAGGUUAAAACUCAAAUGAAUUGACGGGGGCCCGCACAAGCGGUGGAGCAUGUGGUUUAAUUCGAUGCAACGCGAAGAACCUUACCUGGUCUUGACAUCCACAGAACUUNUUGGUGCCUUCGGGAACUGUGAGACAGGUGCUGCAUGGCUGUCGUCAGCUCGUGUUGUGAAAUGUUGGGUUAAGUCCCGCAACGAGCGCAACCCUUAUCCUUUGUUGCCAGCGGUUAGGCCGGGAACUCAAAGGAGACUGCCAGUGAUAAACUGGAGGAAGGUGGGGAUGACGUCAAGUCAUCAUGGCCCUUACGACCAGGGCUACACACGUGCUACAAUGGCAUAUACAAAGAGAAGCGACCUCGCGAGAGCAAGCGGACCUCAUAAAGUAUGUCGUAGUCCGGAUUGGAGUCUGCAACUCGACUCCAUGAAGUCGGAAUCGCUAGUAAUCGUAGAUCAGAAUGCUACGGUGAAUACGUUCCCGGGCCUUGUACACACCGCCCGUCACACCAUGGGAGUGGGUUGCAAAAGAAGUAGGUAGCUUAACCUUCGGGAGGGCGCUUACCACUUUGUGAUUCAUGACUGGGGUGAAGUCGUAACAAGGUAACCGUAGGGGAACCUGCGGUUGGAUCACCU